UGACCCAUCCUCCGUGCUUGAAAUCGAUUUAGUGGACCCUGGCUAGCAUAUUUGUCCCUGCCAAGAUUAUUGCAAAAAGACGAUGUGGUAGUUAAUAUCAGAAAGAAUGUGUGGUUAAUAUCAGGAAGAACACGUGAAAUGGAGAAUUUCAGGGCUAACAUUUCUUGUUUUGUUUCUGAAAACAUCGGCAUGUCCUAAAAAGUGUCGCCUGUGCCCAUCAUCUCACAGGCUUGGGAGCAGGACACCGCCGGCUCACUUUAAAGCCAAGGGAAAGAAUUUGGACAACAAUCUGGAGAAGACAUCAGUGUCAGCAGAGCUCCACUUUCAUCUGUGGGCGAAGGAUUACCUAGGUGCCAAGUCAAGAGACUGAAGACACAAACUGUUUCAGUAUAAUAAAGAAAAUAGGCCGGGCGCGGUGGCUCACACCUGUAAUCCCAGCACUUUGGGAGGCCGAGGUGGGAGGAUCAAGAAGUCAGGAGAUCAAGACCAUCCUGGCUAACAUGCUACCUAAAAGGGAAGGGCCCCUGUCCUAUGAUCACGUGACUUGCUUCACCUUGUCAAUCACUUGGAAGAUUCACCCUCCUUGUCUUGUAUGCAGUAAAUACCAGUGCGCCCAGCCGUUCGGGACCACUACUGGUCUCCGCGUCUUGAUGGUAGUGGUCCCCCGGGCCCAGCAGUUCUCUCUUUA
rnacentral:antisense_RNA from 1 species